rnacentral:rRNA from 1 species
UACGUACGAGGCGAGCGUUAUCCGGAAUUACUGGGCGUAAAGCGCACGCAGGCGGACCAUUAAGUUGGGCGUGAAAUCUCCCGGCCUAACUGGGAGGGGUCGCCCAAGACUGGUGGUCUUGAGGACAGCAGAGGUGGGUGGAAUUCCUGGUGUAGUGGUGAAAUGCGUAGAGAUCAGGAGGAACACCGGUGGCGAAGGCGGCCCACUGGGCUGUCACUGACGCUGAGGCGCGAAAGCUCGGGGAGCGAACGGG